CUAAUUAAUUAAUUAUAAGAGUCCAAUUCACUAACUAAUUAAUUACACUACUUAUUUAAUCAUAAGAACUCUAAUUAAUUAACUAAAUUUUCACCGUCUAAUUAACUAAUUACCAAAUUCAUUAAUUAUAAACUGCUAAUUAACGACCUAAUUAACUAAUUAACUAAUGAAUUAAUUAUAAACUGCUAUUUAACGACCUCCUAAGUAAUUAAAAUUCUAAUUAACUUAAUUAACUAAUUAACUAAUCACCUAAAUUAAACCAUGAGAGAGAGGGAGCUAUGCAUGAUGUUGCUGCUGUGGUGAGGAAGGUGGUGGACAUUAGAGUGAUGACUGGCUUUGUUAAGAACUUCUCGCACUCGGUUGCGCCAUGGCGGGUCAGCCACACUCCAGCCUAGAAGAUUGGGAUCGAGAGGAGGAAUGUGACGAAGAUGAGUAGACCGGCCAGGUUGCUUCAAAUUCUUUGAUGAGGGAGAGCGACCAUGCCAGAGAGAGAGAGAGA